GCAAGAGGGACGAGCUGCGAGCUGAUUGGGCAGAGCGGGCCCUCAGGUGAGCAGCCAUUGGAAGAGGCGCGCUCAGCAGGAUCUCAGAAAAAGUCUGGAGAGGCCUGUAAUCUUCUAUACGGAUGCUAUGACUAAAAUCAAUUACACAACACCUGAACCAAGACAGUUGAAGAAACAAGCCAACAAGACAAGGAGAGUGUUUACAUAGCUGGAAGUAGUUUCUCCUUGUUUGUCCUUGUUCUGAGGUGGAUUUGGGCCUGUAUGCUUUGGUGGAUCAAGAAAGUUGUUUGAGUUUCAUAUUGGAGGGCAUAUUUACAGUCCUGGAAUAUCUCUGUUGUGACUUCCUAAAUCUUAUUGACUAGUUGACCUUCAAAUAAACGAACACUUGCUGCUUGUCACAAUCUAUAUUUUCAGACAUAGUCAUAAUAAGAAGUUUCUACGGUCAUGUUCUUGUCAGCUGUUGAUAUAUCGCAGAGUGAUAGCCAAACAUCAUUAGUAGUUUAACCUAAAGGCCAAAGCCUCCUUUAACUCCACACACUUCUGAGGUUAAAAAAUUGUAUUUGAAUUCUUGAUUAGCUUACCAUGAUUGUUGUAUAGGCUUAUCUUCCUGAUUAGCCCUCUUCAGUAAAGCUGAAGUGGGAAUACCUCAGGCAUUUACAUUUUCCAUGCAUUGUUCUUCUAAUAGUGUAAAGAGUUGAACUGAAGUUUUCCUUGACUUAUGGCUCAGUUUGUUUAUCAAUAUAAUGUGGGAUUUGUUGCCGCUGUCUGAAGAAGCUGCCUUAUCAUCACCCGUAAAACAAUUCAUGUAUCUUCUAUUCUCUUAUUCCUUGUUUCAAGCUCUCAUCCAUCAUGAUAGUUGCCAAACUGAUAGUCUUUACAAACAACAGUUCCAUUAGGGCAGGACUACAGGGUCUCUUAACUUGGAAACUUUACCAGUGACUGCCCUCAACAGCAGCAGAGGAUGGGAAAGCAGCAUGGGAGGGGGGAGAGAUGUGCCAUCGACACAAAGAACCGGAAGCCAUAAAUUGGGACUGGCACCAGCCAUCCUGCAGCUAAUCUGCUGCUCCCUGUUUUUCUAUUGUAAGCCCAAAUAAAAAGGGCCUAUGUGCCCCAUCAAGGUAAUGGAGGGAUCCACAUGAAGCUCAGGUUGAUUUUUAUCUACAGUAAGAGGAGAGAAUGGAAGCCAAUGCCUUGACAUCUUGUUUUGUACUGGAUCUGCAAUCUUUGGAUUUCCCAGCAGUCUGCUUUCAAGUACAAUGGCUUCUGCAUCUAGCCAGAUAUUUUGAACGUUUUGCUUCUUCCCUAGACCAUCAACAUUUGUGAUAUCUGUACAUGACAAAGAAUUUUGGAGGAAUCAAAAGUUUCCUUUCUUUGUAACUUUUUAGUCGUGUGAUAAGGGUACUAACCCAACCGAGACUUUUUGUUUUGUUCCGGAUGACAUGGGUAAUUUUUUUAAAAGAAAUUUUCAAAAAGGAGGAUUCACUGCACAGUAAAGUGCUUGCUGAGAUUCCAGCUGUGCUUGUUACCUUUGUUCGCUUACACUGCCUCUGGGCUG